rnacentral:lncRNA from 1 species
UCCUAGCUUCUUUCUUUUUACUGAGGCUAUGAAGCAUUGACGGGCCAGCAUCUGGUCUCCUCGAAUUUCGCCGACCCCAUACCUAGUCGGAAUUCUCAUUAAAAGGUGGUAUUGGAAACCAUUACUCAAUGUGCAUUGACUCUAUGUUAGCCUAAGAUGGCGUUGUAGGUAGACGGUACCUAAACCACCCAAAAGGUUAGCUGAAUAGUUACUUGCUGAGGCUCUCAUCCUCUUGUAACCGACAAAGUGAUUUCUCCUUUGAUCACAAUCGAGUCUUCGGAGAAUCCAACUUAUGGUGUGUUGACCUUUUUCAACCAAUCAAUUAGUAGCUUCAUUCUU